UCGGGAAUUUUGGGCAAUGGGCGAAAGCCUGACCCAGCAACGCCGCGUGAAGGAUGAAGUAUUUCGGUAUGUAAACUUCGAAAGAAUAGGAAGAAUAAAUGACGGUACUAUUUAUAAGGUUCGGCUAACUACGUGCCAGCAGCCGCGGUAAUACGUAGGGACCAAGCGUUGUUCGGAUUUACUGGGCGUAAAGGGCGCGUAGGCGGCAAUUCAAGUCAUCUGUGAAAUCUCCGGGCUUAACUCGGAACGGUCAGAUGAUACUGCUUUGCUAGAGUGCAGAAGGGGCAAUCGGAAUUCUUGGUGUAGCGGUGAAAUGCGUAGAUAUCAAGAGGAACACCUGAGGUGAAGACGGGUUGCUGGGCUGACACUGACGCUGAGGCGCGAAAGCCAGGGGAGCAAACGGGAUUAGAUACCCGAGUAGUCCCUGAGCGGGCUGGCAAGGCGCAU
rnacentral:rRNA from 1 species